UACGUAGGGGGCGAGCGUUGUCCGGAGUUACUGGGCGUAAAGCGCACGCAGGCGGUCUGCUAAGUUUGGAGUGACAGUUGGUGGCUUAACUGCCAAAGUGCUUCGAAAACUGACAGACUUGAGGGCUUCAGAGGGACACGGAAUUCCGGGUGGAGUGGUGAAAUGCGUAGAGAUCCGGAGGAACACCAAAGGCGAAGGCAGUGUCCUGGGGAUUACCUGACGCUCAGGUGCGAAAGCCAGGGGAGCGAACGGG
rnacentral:rRNA from 1 species